CGCGGCCUAUCAGCUUGUUGGUGAGGUAAUGGCUCACCAAGGCGACGACGGGUAGCCGGCCUGAGAGGGCGACCGGCCACACUGGGACUGAGACACGGCCCAGACUCCUACGGGAGGCAGCAGUGGGGAAUAUUGCACAAUGGGCGAAAGCCUGAUGCAGCGACGCCGCGUGAGGGAUGACGGCCUUCGGGUUGUAAACCUCUUUCAGCAGGGAAGAAGCGAAAGUGACGGUACCUGCAGAAGAAGCGCCGGCUAACUACGUGCCAGCAGCCGCGGUAAUACGUAGGGCGCAAGCGUUGUCCGGAAUUAUUGGGCGUAAAGAGCUCGUAGGCGGUCUGUCGCGUCGGAUGUGAAAGCCCGGGGCUUAACCCCGGGUCUGCAUUCGAUACGGGCAGACUAGAGUGUGGUAGGGGAGAUCGGAAUUCCUGGUGUAGCGGUGAAAUGCGCAGAUAUCAGGAGGAACACCGGUGGCGAAGGCGGAUCUCUGGGCCAUUACUGACGCUGAGGAGCGAAAGCGUGGGGAGCGAACAGGAUUAGAUACCCUGGUAGUCCACGCCGUAAACGGUGGGAACUAGGUGUUGGCGACAUUCCACGUCGUCGGUGCCGCAGCUAACGCAUUAA
rnacentral:rRNA from 1 species